rnacentral:rRNA from 1 species
GCAGCAGCCGCGGGAAUACAGAGGGUGCGAGCGUUAAUCGGAUUUACUGGGCGUAAAGCGUGCGUAGGCGGCUUUUUAAGUCGGAUGUGAAAUCCCUGAGCUUAACUUAGGAAUUGCAUUCGAUACUGGGAAGCUAGAGUAUGGGAGAGGAUGGUAGAAUUCCAGGUGUAGCGGUGAAAUGCGUAGAGAUCUGGAGGAAUACCGAUGGCGAAGGCAGCCAUCUGGCCUAAUACUGACGCUGAGGUACGAAAGCAUGGGGAGCAAACAGGAUUAGAGACCCCAGUAGUCCCUGUCUCUUAUAC